AACAAACGCUGGCGGCAGGCUUAACACAUGCAAGUCGAACGCAUCGCAAGAUGAGUGGCAGACGGGUGAGUAACGCGUGGGAACAUACCCUUUUCUACGGAAUAGCUCUGGGAAACUGGAAUUAAUACCGUAUACGCCCUACGGGGGAAAGAUUUAUCGGGGAAGGAUUGGCCCGCGUUGGAUUAGCUAGUUGGUGGGGUAAAGGCCUACCAAGGCGACGAUCCAUAGCUGGUUUGAGAGGAUGAUCAGCCACAUUGGGACUGAGACACGGCCCAAACUCCUACGGGAGGCAGCAGUGGGGAAUAUUGGACAAUGGGCGCAAGCCUGAUCCAGCCAUGCCGCGUGAGUGAUGAAGGCCUUAGGGUUGUAAAGCUCUUUCACCGAUGAAGAUAAUGACGGUAGUCGGAGAAGAAGCCCCGGCUAACUUCGUGCCAGCCGCCGCGGUAAGAC
rnacentral:rRNA from 1 species